rnacentral:rRNA from 1 species
GAUGAACGCUGGCGGCGUGCUUAACACAUGCAAGUCGAACGAUGCAGCUGGAGCUUGCUCUGGUGGAUUAGUUGCGAACGGGUGAGUAACACGUGAGCAACCUGCCCCUGACUCUGGGAUAACAGCAGGAAACGGCUGCUAAUACCGGAUAUGCACCAUGAACGCAUGUUCUGUGGUGGGAAAGAUUGUUCGGUUGGGGAUGGGCUCGCGGCCUAUCAGCUUGUUGGUGAGGUAAUGGCUCACCAAGGCGUCGACGGGUGGCCGGCCUGAGGGGGUAACCGGCCACGCCGGGACUGGGAUGAGGCCCAGACUCGUACGGGAGGCAACAGAGCGGAAUGGUGUACUAUGGGCGAAAGCCUGAUGCAGCAACGCCGCGUGGGGGAUGACGGGCUGCGGGUAGUAUUGCUCAUUUAGCAGGGAAGAAGUGAGAGUGACGGUACCGUCAGAAAAAGCGCCGGCUAACUACGUG